UGGGGAAUAUUGCACAAUGGGCGCAAGCCUGAUGCAGCCAUGCCGCGUGUGUGAAGAAGGCCUUCGGGUUGUAAAGCACUUUCAGCGGGGAGGAAGGCGAUAAGGUUAAUAACCUCAUCGAUUGACGUUACCCGCAGAAGAAGCACCGGCUAACUCCGUGCCAGCAGCCGCGGUAAUACGGAGGGUGCAAGCGUUAAUCGGAAUUACUGGGCGUAAAGCGCACGCAGGCGGUUUGUUAAGUCAGAUGUGAAAUCCUCGGGCUCAACCUGGGAACUGCAUCUGAUACUGGCAAGCUUGAGUCUCGUAGAGGGGGGUAGAAUUCCAGGUGUAGCGGUGAAAUGCGUAGAGAUCUGGAGGAAUACCGGUGGCGAAGGCGGCCCCCUGGACAAAGACUGACGCUCAGGUGCGAAAGCGUGGGGAGCAAACAGG
rnacentral:rRNA from 1 species